rnacentral:rRNA from 1 species
AAACUCAAAGGAAUUGACGGGGGCCCGCACAAGCGGCGGAGCAUGUGGAUUAAUUCGAUGCAACGCGAAGAACCUUACCUGGGUUUGACAUGCACUGGACCGGCGUAGAGAUACGCCUUCCCUUGUGGCUGGUGCACAGGUGGUGCAUGGCUGUCGUCAGCUCGUGUCGUGAGAUGUUGGGUUAAGUCCCGCAACGAGCGCAACCCUUGUCCCAUGUUGCCAGCGGGUAAUGCCGGGGACUCGUGGAGACUGCCGGGGUCAACUCGGAGGAAG